rnacentral:rRNA from 1 species
UACGUAGGGGACAAGCGUUAUCCGGAAUUACUGGGUGUAAAGGGAGCGUAGACGGUAAUGUAAGUCUGGAGUGAAAGGCGGGGGCCCAACCCCCGGACUGCUCUGGAAACUAUGUUACUGGAGUGCAGGAGAGGUAAGCGGAAUUCCUAGUGUAGCGGUGAAAUGCGUAGAUAUUAGGAGGAACACCAGUGGCGAAGGCGGCUUACUGGACUGUAACUGACGUUGAGGCUCGAAAGCGUGGGGAGCAAACAGG